rnacentral:rRNA from 1 species
UACGUAGGAGGCAAGCGUUGUCCGGAAUUACUGGGCGUAAAGCGCGUGUAGGUGGUGGGACAAGUCUGCUGUGAAAGCGCCUGGCUUAACCGGGCGAGGUCGGCGGAAACUGUCCGACUCGAGGACGGUAGAGGGGGGUGGAAUUCCCGGUGUAGUGGUGAAAUGCGUAGAUAUCGGGAGGAACACCAGUGGCGAAGGCGACUACCUGGCCUGUUCUUGACGCUGAGGCGCGAAAGCUAGGGGAGCAAACGGG